rnacentral:lncRNA from 1 species
GGCCAUUUUUCAUAACGCCGCGGAUCCGCUUUUGUGCCUCUGAGGCGACUAAACAGAUGAAUAACGAGCAAAGUCUCUCGAAACUAGUUUGAAAAUUGGUUUCUGGCAAGAGGAAAGAAAAGCCUGCAGCACUGAAGGAAGAAUCAAAGUGUUAAAAGGACGCUCAAAAUAUAGUACUGUGGCAGGCCGGGGGGGCGGAGGGCCCAGUGCCGUAGCUCUCUCAACCCUGGCAUUGCAUGCAGGUGAAAUUCAUUUUAGGAUGAUUUUAAG